rnacentral:rRNA from 1 species
UAGGGAAUCUUCCGCAAUGGACGAAAGUCUGACGGAGCAACGCCGCGUGAGUGAUGAAGGCUUUCGGGUCGUAAAACUCUGUUGUUAGGGAAGAACAAGUGCUAGUUGAAUAAGCUGGCACCUUGACGGUACCUAACCAGAAAGACACGGCUAACUACGUGCCAGCAGCCGCGGUAAUACGUAGGGGGAGAGCGUUGGCCUGAUUCAUUGGGUUUAAAGGGGGCGUAGGCGGCUGAGUAAGUCAGGGCU